rnacentral:piRNA from 1 species
UCUUCAUCUUUAUUUUUCACC